AUGCGUGAGGGGCACUGGAGGCUGAACAGGGCUCUCUGCUGUUACGGGGCCGGGACUGGAAGCAGCUGCCAGAGGCACCUGCACUGCUCGGCCUCCCUGCACUGGACUCAGGCACCCUCUCUUAGGAGGAGCCCCGGCGCUAAUUUGGCCCACGCCGCUCGUUUUACGGGUGAGGAAACUGAGCCAGCCACAGAAAUUUGUUUCCAAGAUGAGGAGAGACCAGAUUGCUUCAACUGUAGUUUAGAAAUCUGUUUGGGACAACAACCCCAUGUUUUGUUUUGUUUUUUUUCUGUGCUGGGGACCAAAUCCAGGCCUGGUGCACAGGGAGCUACACCUCCAGCCCUUGCCCUGCUGCUGAAAUGUAAGAUCCAUGGUACAGAAACUAUACCCGCCCCGGUGCUGAUUUGGACUUCGCAGAAGCCUUCAUUUGUACGCGCACUAACUGUUCCAGGUUCUGAGACAAGGCCCCGGGCCACGGCUGUCCAUUUCCACUGCGCCCUGUUAAGAAACACUUCCUCUUGCUCUGGCUGUGAGCAGGAAAUGUUGGAAACCACAGGUUCCUUCCUUCUUGAUGCUGUCAAGACCCAGCCCCUUCUCUCCCCUGUCAUGACCCCUGGCACUCAGUUUCAGGCUGCUCCUUCUUAUUCCUGUUCUCCGUUGUAAUUUUUUUUCCUGUUCUGUGAACUGAACCCAAGGCCUCCACACUGAGCUAUAACCCCAGCU
rnacentral:lncRNA from 1 species